rnacentral:rRNA from 2 species
UACGAAGGGAGCUAGCGUUGUUCGGAAUUACUGGGCGUAAAGGGCGCGUAGGCGGCUUGAUAAGUUUGAUGUGAAAGCCCUGGGCUUAACCUAGGAAUAGCAUUGAAUACUGUCAGGCUAGAGGCCGAGAGAGGGAAAUGGAAUUGCGAGUGUAGAGGUGAAAUUCGUAGAUAUUCGCAAGAACACCAGUGGCGAAGGCGAUUUCCUGGCUCGGUACUGACGCUAAGGCGCGAAAGCGUGGGGAGCAAACAGG